rnacentral:rRNA from 1 species
UAUAAUGGGUCAGCGACUUAUAUUCUGUAGCAAGGUUAACCGCAUAGGGGAGCCGAAGGGAAACCGAGUCUUAAUUGGGCGUUAAGUUGCAGGGUAUAGACCCGAAACCCGGUGAUCUAGCCAUGGGCAGGUUGAAGGUUGGGUAACACUAACUGGAGGACCGAACCGACUAAUGUUGAAAAAUUAGCGGAUGACCUGUGGCUGGGGGUGAAAGGCCAAUCAAACCGGGAGAUAGCUGGUUCUCCCCGAAAGCUAUUUAGGUAGCGCCUCGUGAACUCAUCUCCGGGGGUAGAGCACUGUUUCGGCUAGGGGGCCAUCCCGGCUUACCAACCCGAUGCAAACUGCGAAUACCGGAGAAUGUUAUCACGGGAGACACACGGCGGGUGCUAACGUCCGUCGUGAAGAGGGAAACAACCCAGACCGCCAGCUAAGGUCCCAAAGUCAUGGUUAAGUGGGAAACGAUGUGGGAAGGCCCAGACAGCCAGGAUGUUGGCUUAGAAGCAGCCAUCAUUUAAAGAAAGCGUAAUAGCUCACUGGUCGAGUCGGCCUGCGCGGAAGAUGUAACGGGGCUAAACCAUGCACCGAAGCUGCGGCAGCGACACUUUAGUGUUGUUGGGUAGGGGAGCGUUCUGUAAGCCGUUGAAGGUGUCCUGUGAGGGGUGCUGGAGGUAUCAGAAGUGCGAAUGCUGACAUAAGUAACGAUAAAGCGGGUGAAAAGCCCGCUCGCCGGAAGACCAAGGGUUCCUGUCCAACGUUAAUCGGGGCAGGGUGAGUCGACCCCUAAGGCGAGGCCGAAAGGCGUAGUCGAUGGGAAACGGGUUAAUAUUCCCGUACUUGGUGUUACUGCGAAGGGGGGACGGAGAAGGCUAUGUUGGCCGGGCGACGGUAGUCCCGGUUUAAGCGUGUAGGUGUGUGUUCCAGGCAAAUCCGGUUCACUUUAACACUGAGGCGUGAUGACGAGGCACCACGGUGCUGAAGCAACAAAUGCCCUGCUUCCAGGAAAAGCCUCUAAGCAUCAGGUAACAUCAAAUCGUACCCCAAACCGACACAGGUGGUCAGGUAGAGAAUACCAAGGCGCUUGAGAGAACUCGGGUGAAGGAACUAGGCAAAAUGGUGCCGUAACUUCGGGAGAAGGCACGCUGACAC